rnacentral:rRNA from 1 species
UCCAAAACUGAGUACCUAGAAUAUGGGAGAGGUAGAUGGAAUUUCUGGUGUAGGGGUAAAAUCCGUAGAGAUCAGAAGGAAUACCGAUUGCGAAGGCGAUCUACUGGAACAUUAUUGACGCUGAGACGCGAAAGCGUGGGGAGCAAACAGGAUUAGAUACCCUGGUAGUCCACGCCCUAAACGAUGUACAUUAGUUGUUGCUAUGCUAGACAUAGCAGUAAUGCAGUUAACACAUUAAAUGUACCGCCUGGGGAGUACGGUCGCAAGAUUAAAACUCAAAGGAAUAGACGGGGACCCGCACAAGCGGUGGAGCAUGUGGUUUAAUUCGACGAUACGCGAAGAACCUUACCUGGCCUUAACAUAGAAAGAAUUUAGCAGAGAUGUAAAAGUGCUAGUUUACUAGAGCUUUCAUACAGGUGCUGCACGGCUGUCGUCAGCUCGUGUCGUGAGAUGUUAGGUUAAGUCCUGCAACGAGCGCAACCCUCGUGUUUAGUUACUAACAGAUUAUGCUGAGGACUCUAGACAUACUGCCUGGGCAACCAGGAGGAAGGUGAGGACGACGUCAAGUCAUCAUGGCCCUUACGGCCAGGGCUACACACGUGCUACAAUGGGGUAUACAAAGAGCAGCGAUACCGCGAGGUGGAGCAAAUCUCAUAAAAUAUCUCCCAGUUCGGAUUACACUCUGCAACUCGAGUGUAUG